rnacentral:rRNA from 1 species
CCUACGGGGGGCUGCAGUCGAGAAUCUUCCACAAUGGACGAAAGUCUGAUGGAGCGACGUCGCGUGAUGGAUGAAGAGCUUCGGUUUGUAAACAUCUUUUAUGAGGGAAUAAGUCUAUUGAAGGUACCUCAUGAAUAAGGACCUGCUAAACUCGUGCCAGCAGCAGCGGUAAUACGAGUGGUCCUAGUGUUAUCCGGAAUUAUUGGGCGUAAAGGGUCUGUAGGUUGCUUAAUUAGUCUCCCGUUAAAUCUUUGGGCUUAACCCAAAGCUUGCGGGGGAAACGGUUAGGCUAGAAUAUGCGAUAGGUAUACGGAACUCAUAGUGUAGGGGUGAAAUCCGUUGAUAUUAUGGGGAACACCAAAAGCGAAAGCAGUAUACUGGCGCAUUAUUGACACUCAAAGACGAAAGCGUGGGUAGCGAACGGGAUUAGAUACCCGAGUAGUC